rnacentral:rRNA from 1 species
UACGGGGGGGGGCAAGCGUUGUUCGGAAUUACUGGGCGUAAAGGGCUCGUAGGUGGCCAACUAAGUCAGACGUGAAAUCCCUCGGCUUAACCGGGGAACUGCGUCUGAUACUGGAUGGCUUGAGUUUGGGAGAGGGACGCGGAAUUCCAGGUGUAGCGGUGAAAUGCGUAGAUAUCUGGAGGAACACCUGCGGCGAAGGCGGGUAGCUGGGCCAACACUGACGCUGAUGCGCGAAAGCUAGGGGAGCAAACGGG